rnacentral:rRNA from 1 species
CCUACGGGAGGCAGCAGUGGGGAAUAUUGGACAAUGGGCGAAAGCCUGAUCCAGCCAUGCCGCGUGUGUGAAGAAGGCCUUCGGGUUGUAAAGCACUUUCAGUGGGGAAGAAAGCCUUGGGGCUAAUACCCUCGAGGAAGGACAUCACCCACAGAAGAAGCACCGGCUAACUACGUGCCAGCAGCCGCGGUAAUACGGAGGGUGCGAGCGUUAAUCGGAAUUACUGGGCGUAAAGCGCGCGUAGGCGGUCUGAUAAGCCGGUUGUGAAAGCCCCGGGCUCAACCUGGGAACGGCAUCCGGAACUGUCAGGCUAGAGUGCAGGAGAGGAAGGUAGAAUUCCCGGUGUAGCGGUGAAAUGCGUAGAGAUCGGGAGGAAUACCAGUGGCGAAGGCGGCCUUCUGGACUGACACUGACGCUGAGGUGCGAAAGCGUGGGUAGCAAACAGGAUUAGAUACCCGGGUAGUC